rnacentral:miRNA from 1 species
AGCCGGGCAGGGGUUGGA